UUACUCACUUCGACUCUCGGUCUCAGUGUAGUAAGAUUCUGCUUGUUUCCCUUUCGGGCCGUCGUGAGGUGCGUCUUCCUAUCGCGUCGACCUAACCUCAAACGAUCCUUCACCAGCCCUAGGGUUGGCCUUAUUAGAUUGUUGGCCACUAAGACCUAUUACAACUUUGCCAUCUAAGCUUCCAGGCACCUUAUGGUGUCGUCACGGCUGUCGGGGAGCAACCAACCUGACCUUUGCCCAAAGUGGUCCUUGGCCACCCUAUGAGCAUCAACCAAUAGUUUAUUCCCCCUCUCACCUAGUGUUCUGGGCAUGAGAGGGUGCUCCCUUCGGGUUUCAAGAUUGCUUCUACCGUUGGUGGUGCUUUCAGAUGCAAUAAGAAUCAUAUUUUACAGGUAUCUAUUGUCGAUUUCCUAUAAACGACACAAGGUGUGUGGAUGAGGAAAUGCAAGAGAGAAAUCAAAGAUAGACAUCUGUGGUGGUUGGACAGCAAUUGACGAUGGUUGUGGGCGGCUGGACCUAGCUGCAUUAUAGAAACAAUGAGAACGGACGUCGCCAUUGUUUCGGAAACGGUUCUUCGACUGUCAAGUGACCGACAGUGUAUUAGAGAGAGAUAAAGAUAGUUCUAAGCUUGAGAUAGUAGAAAUUGCAUACAUUGACAAUGAAAGGGCAUGUCUUUUAUAACACAACUUGACGCGUGAUUGGACGCGCCAACUGUCAUGUUACUGGACAGACUGUAGCUCGGCGCAUGCUGAGACACGCCGACUAUUGUGUUAGUAAGUAGACAGCUGACCCAACUAUGGUAGCUAGCAUGUCAUGUCACCAGCUUCUCAAUCCAGGCGUGAGGGUGUCAAAAAAAAUUUCGCCGUGCAAGCCAUCCUCUGCCUCUGACGUGCCGUCAGAAUUCCUGCUGACAGUUGCGCCUCGACCUAUUUCCAGCGCAGAAACCCCACUGAGCUUGUUAUAAAGUGACAACUCGACGACGAUGCUUAUCCUAGCUUGGUCAGAGCUGAUUUUUGUAUUUUAUCUCAUUACAACUUAUUUUACACAUGUUGAUCCAUUUUUGAUCGGUUGAUGAUGACUUGUCACUGAGGCAACGAUAUUGGGGAAUAGUAUUUGGUGUUUCUUUUGUCGACUUCGAGAUAAGUGGGUGGUAGGAGAGAACGAGCAGGUGAACAAUAUCAUGAUUAAGCUCCUUCGAGAGUUAUAUUCAUUGACCAAGCUGCCAAUGCACUGGGAUUGGUAUCAAACAUUGCAGCAAGACAGGCGAAACAACUUCAAUCUUGUUGUAUUCGUUUAGAAUAACGUGCUAUCACCUAGCCUUUAAUACAUCAUUUAUCAAGUAGGCGAGAAAGAAACACAAGUUGAUCGUGAGCCCCCUAAUUAUUGUAAUGCUUUACCGACAGCUACAAGACUUGAUUGGGUAUUUCCGUCUCUGGGACAGCACAUUUCACGCUAUAUUGUGUACUUCCGGAUUAUUUUCUCUGGAUGGUAAGUCGUGAGUUUUUAAAUAGUCGUGUGUUGUUCACGUUGAUUAAAUAGUAUGGAAACUUCAGUUUAUCCACAUUCAGGUUGCCAACUAAUUAGGGAGUGCGACAGAGAACAGCCACUCCAGAUUUUCACAGCCUGUAAGCAAGUGUAUCCUGAAUUACUGAGUAUUAUGACAACACAUUCGAAACAGUUCACCCUUUGAGAUCUCCUGCAAGCAGCAACUCGUGAUACUCAUGUUGGGGAAUGGGGCCUCCUGUGUAGGCACUCAGGAGCGAAACUCAACAAGUCCCAUAAGUAACAGUUAAAAAACCCACCCCAACAACUAAUCUAACAUCUUGUGACUAAAAUCACAAGCCAACGAAUUCCUUAACAAACACUUGUGCAUGCCAUAAUAAACCAAUAGUAUCCUGCUAUUUUCAAAAUAUGGGAGGGAUUGCAAGCUGUUUCAUAAUUCCCAAUCACCACCAACAAAACCACUAGAAUUCAGCUGUUAUUUACAUUUGAAGUAGAACCCAUGUUGAAGACCGACUAAAGUCAGAGAACGAUAAAGUCAUAGAGUGUACUUAAACGGAGACACUUAAAAUCUCAUAAGUAGCACUAUACCAUAUGCCAUAUUUUAUAGGUUUCUGUUUCUUUGCAAGUUUUGCUUUAACCACAAAUUACAACGUCUUACUCAAAUGCCCAUUGAUUCUCACGACGAAUCUCUUCCUCUUCUUCAGGGGUAAAGUCCUCAUUGAUAAUGAUGGUCUUGCGGAUCUCUGCAGGAGUCUUCCCUUUCAUCAUGUCUGCAACAGUCUGGCAUGUCAAAUCCAGCAGGCUCUUGAUAUCCAGAUAGUUUGCAGCCUGAGGAUAUUAUAGUAAAUUAGAAUAUAAGACACAAAACAGACAAAAGCAUGGGCCAUACAUGCAAGGUGGUUCAAAUCAUUAUCAAAAAUUACAGCUACAUGACAAAGCUAGCAAAAUUUUAAUAAUUUAUUAAGUACAUAUAUUGAUAGAUAAGUUGAAAGAAAGUCGAACUCUAGUCUCUUUAUUGUGAGAGUGCAGCUCAAGUGGCUGAAGUGUCCCCUAGAGGACAAAGUUCCCAUUCCAUAACUAUAAGAAUCAAUCAGUAGAACCUGGAUUAAGGAACAUCAACUCAAGGCAUAUGCACAAACCUUUAAGCUGUGGAAUACACUAGCAAUCGCAAAUCAGUGAUUCAAUGGACAGAAACUUCACGAUGCAAGUUGCAGAUAACAUGAGAUUAAUUCAGUAACUUAUGAUCCAAGUAUCGGUGUUUAGAAAUACAAAACCAAAACAUAAAAACAAG
rnacentral:lncRNA from 1 species